AUGGACCGUGUGGUGACAUACAUAAAACUGCUUCACAAGGAGAUGGUAAUGGAAAGGUUGAACACAGAAGGUGUGAUGUACAAACCCACUAAGAGGGACAACGUUGACGAAUUUGAUGACGUAGGUGAAGGAGUUGGGAUGCAGAAUGGCAAGUACAAGUCAAAAUAUGAGCCGUCAAAAUAUUGGCCAGAUGUUGAAUCACCUACCGACGUAAAGAUAGGAACAUCUUUCACAGGUGAAGCUACGGAUCCUUUCAUUAUAGACGAUAAUGGAAACUCUCCACCUUCGGCAUCAACUGUACAGACAAAAGACUUUCCAUCUAUGUCCCGAACCCCGCAGAAUGCUCAUAUUUCUGGUGAGUCUAUGGGUGGUUUUUCACCAACAAAGUUCAAAGAAUCGUUUGAGAGUUUCCCGGCAAAGAGCAACAUAGUUAAUGGUGAUGGCAGUCAGGACAAUGAAGGUAAAUGCAAACGAAAUCUGUUGAAAUAUUGUCAAUCCCCCUACGACCUUCUCAUUACCCGCAAGAAACGUGUUAAAAAAAAUCAUCAAUGCAUAUUGUAA
rnacentral:rRNA from 1 species